UUGUCCUGGCCUGUGCUUUUUCUGCUCCCCUGUGCUUAGUUCUAAUUAGGAAGGCUGGCAGGACACACAGCAAUCUGUCUUUCAGUUUAGGAGGGCCAUCCUAAGAACAGGGCUGGUUCUUAAAGGCACAAGAGGACAGU